rnacentral:rRNA from 1 species
UACGUAGGGUGCAAGCGUUGUCCGGAAUUAUUGGGCGUAAAGAGCUCGUAGGCGGUUUGUCGCGUCUGCUGUGAAAACGCGAGGCUCAACCUCGCGCCUGCAGUGGGUACGGGCAGACUAGAGUGCGGUAGGGGAGAUUGGAAUUCCUGGUGUAGCGGUGGAAUGCGCAGAUAUCAGGAGGAACACCGAUGGCGAAGGCAGAUCUC